CCUGGCUCAGGAUGAACGCUAGCUACAGGCUUAACACAUGCAAGUCGAGGGGCAGCAUGGUCUUAGCUUGCUAAGGCCGAUGGCGACCGGCGCACGGGUGAGUAACACGUAUCCAACCUGCCGUCUACUCUUGGACAGCCUUCUGAAAGGAAGAUUAAUACAAGAUGGCAUCAUGAGUCCGCAUGUUCACAUGAUUAAAGGUAUUCCGGUAGACGAUGGGGAUGCGUUCCAUUAGAUAGUAGGCGGGGUAACGGCCCACCUAGUCUUCGAUGGAUAGGGGUUCUGAGAGGAAGGUCCCCCACAUUGGAACUGAGACACGGUCCAAACUCCUACGGGAGGCAGCAGUGAGGAAUAUUGGUCAAUGGGCGAGAGCCUGAACCAGCCAAGUAGCGUGAAGGAUGACUGCCCUAUGGGUUGUAAACUUCUUUUAUAAAGGAAUAAAGUCGGGUAUGGAUACCCGUUUGCAUGUACUUUAUGAAUAAGGAUCGGCUAACUCCGUGCCAGCAGCCGCGGUAAUACGGAGGAUCCGAGCGUUAUCCGGAUUUAUUGGGUUUAAAGGGAGCGUAGAUGGAUGUUUAAGUCAGUUGUGAAAGUUUGCGGCUCAACCGUAAAAUUGCAGUUGAUACUGGAUAUCUUGAGUGCAGUUGAGGCAGGCGGAAUUCGUGGUGUAGCGGUGAAAUGCUUAGAUAUCACGAAGAACUCCGAUUGCGAAGGCAGCCUGCUAAGCUGCAACUGACAUUGAGGCUCGAAAGUGUGGGUAUCAAACAGGAUUAGAUACCCUGGUAGUCCACACGGUAAACGAUGAAUACUCGCUGUUUGCGAUAUACUGCAAGCGGCCAAGCGAAAGCGUUAAGUAUUCCACCUGGGGAGUACGCCGGCAACGGUGAAACUCAAAGGAAUUGACGGGGGCCCGCACAAGCGGAGGAACAUGUGGUUUAAUUCGAUGAUACGCGAGGAACCUUACCGGGGCUUAAAUUGCAGAUGAAUUACGGUGAAAGCCGUAAGCCGCAAGGCAUCUGUGAAGGUGCUGCAUGGUUGUCGUCAGCUCGUGCCGUGAGGUGUCGGCUUAAGUGCCAUAACGAGCGCAACCCUUGUUGUCAGUUACUAACAGGUUCCGCUGAGGACUCUGACAAGACUGCCAUCGUAAGAUGUGAGGAAGGUGGGGAUGACGUCAAAUCAGCACGGCCCUUACGUCCGGGGCUACACACGUGUUACAAUGGGGGGUACAGAGGGCCGCUACCACGCGAGUGGAUGCCAAUCCCCAAAACCUCUCUCAGUUCGGACUGGAGUCUGCAACCCGACUCCACGAAGCUGGAUUCGCUAGUAAUCGCGCAUCAGCCACGGCGCGGUGAAUACGUUCCCGGGCCUUGUACACACCGCC
rnacentral:rRNA from 1 species